rnacentral:rRNA from 1 species
GACGAACGCUGGCGGCGUGCCUAAUACAUGCAAGUAGAACGCUGAAGAGAGGAGCUUGCUCUUCUUGGAUGAGUUGCGAACGGGUGAGUAACGCGUAGGUAACCUGCCUUGUAGCGGGGGAUAACUAUUGGAAACGAUAGCUAAUACCGCAUAACAAUGGAUGACACAUGUCAUUUAUUUGAAAGGGGCAAUUGCUGCACUACAAGAUGGACCUGCGUUGUAUUAGCUAGUAGGUGAGGUAAUGGCUCACCUAGGCGACGAUACAUAGCCGACCUGAGAGGGUGAUCGGCCACACUGGGACUGAGACACGGCCCAGACUCCUACGGGAGGCAGCAGUAGGGAAUCUUCGGCAAUGGGGGCAACCCUGACCGAGCAACGCCGCGUGAGUGAAGAAGGUUUUCGGAUCGUAAAGCUCUGUUGUAAGUCAAGAACGGGUGUGAGAGUGGAAAGUUCACACUGUGACGGUAGCUUACCAGAAAGGGACGGCUAACUACGUG